CCACUGGAUGUCAAGAACUGCUAGAUGCGAUCCAGCCAGUCUGUACUCGACUCUCAGUUCCAUCUUCUCAACUCACAGUGUCUUCCAAAGUCCAUGCCACACCACAGCCUGGAAGAUCUCCCAAGGUGGUAUCUUGAGGCAAUGGUAGAGCUCAUGUCACAGUAUUGUAUGCCUCAGGCUUUGAAUAACUCACCAGUGAAGUCAUCUUGACCUGGACAGAAAUUGAAUCCUCCCAAGAAUCCCA
rnacentral:lncRNA from 10 species